rnacentral:lncRNA from 1 species
AUUUGGUUUAGGGAUUGGUUGAAAUUUGGUUUAGAGUUUAGGAUUUGGUUAAGAUUUGGUUUAGGUUUAGGAUUUGAUUUAGAAUUAGAAUUUGAUUAGGAUUUGAUUUAGGAUUUAGGAUUUGAUUUAGAACUUAGUUAGGAUUUGGUUUAGGAUUUUUUUAGGGAUUGAUUUAGGGUUUAGGGUUUGAUUUAGGAUUUGAUUGGAAUUUGGUUUAGGAUUCAAGAUUUGAUUAGGAUUUGAUUUAGGGUUAGGAUUUGGUUAGGAUUUGAUUUAGGAUUAGGAUUUGAUUAGGAUUUGAUUUAGGAUUAGGAUUUGAUUAGGGUUUGAUUUAGGAUUUAGGAUUUGAUUUGAGAUUUGUUUAGGAUUUGAUUUAGGAUUUAGGAUUUGAUUUGAGAUUUGUUUAGGAUUUGAUUUAGGAUUUAGGAUUUGGUUUAGGAUUUGGUUGGAAUUUGAUUUAGGAUUAGGAUUUGAUUUAGGAUUUAGGAUUUGAUUUAGGAUUUGAUUAGGAUUUGAUUUGAGAUUUGUUUAGGAUUUGAUUUAGGAUUUAGGAUUUGAUUUAAGAUUUGGUCGGAAUUUGAUUUAGGGUUCAAGAUUUGGUUAGGGUUUGGUUUAAGUUUAGGAUUUGAUUUAGGAUUAGGAUUUGGUUAGGAUUUUAUUUAGGAUUUAGGAUUUGAUUUAGGAUUUAGGAUUUGAGUUAGGAUUUGAUUAGGAUUUAAUUUAGGAAUAGGAUUUGAUUAGAAUUUGAUUUAUGAUUUAAGAUUUGAUUUAAGAUUUGGUUAGGAUUGGGUUUAGGAUUUGUUUAGGAUUUAAUUUAGGAUUUAGGAUUUGAUAGGGAUUUAGUUUAGAUUUAGGAUUUGAUUUAGGAUUUAAGGUUUGAUUAGGGUUUGGUUUAGGAUUUGGUUGGAGUUUGGUUUAGAAUUUGUUUAGGAUUUAAUUUAGGAUUUAGGAUUUUAUUAGGAUUUGUUAAGAUUUAAGAUUUAAUUAGUUUUGGCCUAAAGUUUGAAUGAAGUCCAAUAGGAUUUUAACUAGAAUUAAAUUAAAAUUGAAUUGAGAUGUAUUUGAGAUAUAUUUGUGAUCAUUCUAAUAUUUCUUUAAGAUUUCUUAUUGUUUCUUUGAAAUUUCUUUGAGAUUUCUUUGAAUUUGAUUAAAGUUUGUUUAGCAUUGUUAGUAUUCUAUUAGAAUUAGUAUUUUGUUGUUGCAAUUUCCAUUCUACCUUCUACAAUCAGGUGCUCGGAGCAUUCUCAAGCAAAACUUUACGUAUUAUGACACCACCGUAUUGACAUUCUAUGCCAAUGAAUUCUAUUCUUUCUAUAGAGGCACUAGCACUGGUACAUGACUUUCUUCUAUUAGUGGUGUUUGAUGCAAUGUGUGUACAAUCACAGCAUACUUAUAAUUGGAACAAAGUAAAUAUGUGAACUUUUCCAAUUUCCACUUGACUCCUAUCUCCACAUAAAUACGAGUGGCUACAUAAGCUACCCCAUUGAACACCAUCCCUUCAAGCGCCCCUACCAUUGCAUACAAUAAUUGUUUGGACAUAUAUGUGAGGUGUCGGUACAAUCCUAACCGCCUUACCACAAAACAGAAUCAUUCUGUAAGUUUCGGUGAAAUUGCAUCAGUAGUUCGCUAACCUUGGCUCCUCUCAAAGGCUGACAUACCUCUCUUGAAAUAUCUUCUUAGGCUGAAGUUGCUUGAAUCAUGAGUCCCUACCGUAAUCUCUCCAAUGAAGAGAAAUAGCACCUUUUCUAAGAUUGUUCCAUCAAUCUUGAUAAUUCGUCUUUGUACGACAUUCAAUCCAUCCUCCGAGUCAUAAUUCGUAAUAUAUUCCUCCACUAAUGAUACAUUAAUUGAUGGUAAGUGAUCUGACUAGUGUAAAAAUUGGAACAACUGUGUAUUUUGUAAGUCUCUUAUUCUUCUCUAUGCCCAACAGAUAUCUAACUUCAUCGGCUCCAUAUUAGUAACGAUUAUCAGAGAAGGUGGUUUUGAUGUGCGUUUAGCUCUCACAAUUCAGCCACUAUCCUCUUUGUUUGUAGCUUAUUUU